AUUGAACGCUGGCGGAAUGCUUCACACAUGCAAGUCGAACGGCAGCACGGACUUCGGUCUGGUGGCGAGUGGCGAACGGGUGAGUAAUGUAUCGGAACGUGCCCAGUCGUGGGGGAUAACGUAGUGAAAAUUACGCUAAUACCGCAUACGAUCUAUGGAUGAAAGCGGGGGGUCGCAGGACCUCGCGCGAUUGGAGCGGCCGAUAUCAGAUUAGGUAGUUGGUGGGGUAAAGGCCCACCAAGCCAACGAUCUGUAGCUGGUCUGAGAGGACGACCAGCCACACUGGAACUGAGACACGGUCCAGACUCCUACGGGAGGCAGCAGUGGGGAAUUUUGGACAAUGGGCGAAAGCCUGAUCCAGCCAUUCCGCGUGCAGGAUGAAGGCCCUCGGGUUGUAAACUGCUUUUGUACAGAACGAAAAGGUUUCUACUAAUACUAGGAGCUCAUGACGGUACUGUAAGAAUAAGCACCGGCUAACUACGUGCCAGCCGCCGCAGUAA
rnacentral:rRNA from 1 species